UACGGAGGGGGCGAGCGUUAUUCGGAAUUACUGGGCGUAAAGCGUGCGUAGGCGGCCCUGUUAGUCGGAGGUGAAAUCCCGGAGCUCAACUCCGGAACUGCCUCCGAGACGGCUGGGCUUGAGUGAAGGAGAGGAGAGCGGAAUUCCCAGUGUAGAGGUGAAAUUCGUAGAUAUUGGGAAGAACACCGGUGGCGAAGGCGGCUCUCUGGCCUUUAACUGACGCUGAGGCACGAAAGCGUGGGGAGCAAACAGG
rnacentral:rRNA from 1 species